AAUGAACGCUGGCGGCGUGGAUAAGACAUGCAAGUCGAACGAGAAACACUUGAGCUUGCUUUGGUGUUUCUAGUGGCGGACGGGUGCGUAACACGUGAGCAACUUACCCCGAAGCGGGGGAUAGCCCACCGAAAGGUGGAUUAAUACCGCAUAAUACUUUGGUUGAAAGAUGCCUUCGGGUGUCACUUCGGGAUAGGCUCGCGGCCUAUCAGCUUGUUGGUGAGGUAACGGCUCACCAAGGCGACGACGGGUACCUGGUCUGAGAGGACGAUCAGGCACACUGGAACUGAGACACGGUCCAGACACCUACGGGUGGCAGCAGUCGAGAAUCAUUCACAAUGGGGGAAACCCUGAUGGUGCAACGCCGCGUGGAGGAUGAAGGCCCUCGGGUCGUAAACUCCUGUCAUCAAGGAGUAAGCCUUGGUCGUUAAUAGCUUCCAAGGUUGAUAGUACUUGAAGAGGAAGGGACGGCUAACUUCG
rnacentral:rRNA from 1 species